rnacentral:rRNA from 1 species
GACGUAGGGGGCCAGCGUUGUUCGGAAUUACUGGGCGUAAAGGGUUCGUAGGCGGUGUGGCAAGUUGGGAGUGAAAUCUCUGGGCUCAACCCAGAGGCUGCUUCCAAAACUGCUGUGCUUGAGUGUGGGAGAGGCGCGUGGAAUUGCAGGUGUAGCGGUGAAAUGCGUAGAUAUCUGCAGGAACACCCGUGGCGAAAGCGGCGCGCUGGACCACAACUGACGCUGAGGAACGAAAGCUAGGGGAGCAAACAGG